UGUGGCGGGGGGAUUCAGUCGGGAGAGGCGGAGGCGCCGUCGGGUCGAUUCGAACGGACCCUUUUCCGGGGCCGGGCCCGCGGCGCGGUCUCCGUUUCACCUGACGCAUUUCCUCCCGCACUGAGGACGCUGCAGCCGGUUGGGUAGCUGCGUGAGUCGGCCAUGAGGACGGGCGACGGCAGGUGGCCGGUUGCGUUGCUUCCGCUUCGCGGCCGGUUGUUAGCCAGCUCGUCCGUGGCGCGACACCCGACCGAGGUUGAUCGGUUCCCGUACGGGAACUCGCCGUCCCCUUCCCUUUUAUCGGGGAGCGGGCGCUCUGGCAGGCGUAUCGCGGUGUCGCCACGUCACUCUUCGUAGUGGCCGGUGCUCCGGGGUCGCUGUUGGCCGGAAGCGUCUCGCGGGGGUGCAUGCGGCUGGCAGCGAGUAGGUCGGUCACCCACCCGACCCGUCUUGAAACACGGACCAAGGAGUCUAACAUGUGCGCGAGUCACGGGGUCUUGAUUAGGCCCAGAGGCGCAAUGAAAGUGAAGGUCGACCUCGACGUCGGCCGUGUUGGGAUUUCUCUCCCCCCCGCCACGCGGGGAGGGGGGGGAAGCACCAACGACCCGUCCUGUCCGAUUCAUCG
rnacentral:rRNA from 1 species